rnacentral:rRNA from 1 species
AGAGAUGUGUGAUGACGCAUAUCAAUAAGCGGAGGAAAAGAAACUAACAAGGAUUCCCCUAGUAACGGCGAGUGAAGCGGGAAGAGCUCAAAUUUGAAAUCUUCAAGGGUUUCCCUUGACGAAUUGUAGUUUAAAGAAGUGUUUUCUGUUAGAGAGGUGGUAAAAGUUCUUUGGAAUAGGACAUCAUAGAGGGUGAGAAUCCCGUAUUUGAUCACUUUCUACUAACGUUGUGAUACACUUUCAAAGAGUCGGAUUGUUUGGGAAUGCAGUCCAAAAUGGGUGGUAAAUUUCAUCUAAAACUAAAUAUUGGCGAGAGACCGAUAGCGAACAAGUACCGUGAGGGAAAGAUGAAAAGAACUUUGAAAAGAGAGUUAAACAGUACGUGAAAUUGUCAAAAGGGAAGCGUUUGACACCAGUGUUGUUUAGUUGAAAAUCAAUUAAAUAUUUUUCGAUUUUAAGUAGUAUUGACCUUAUCAGCUUGCUGCUUUUUUCUCGGAAAUUAUUUAAUGCACUUUUCAGUUAACAAGUCAACAUCAAUUUCUUUUGUUGUAAAAAGGUAAGAGGAAGGUGGCUUGCGCUUCGGCUCAAGUGUUUAUAGCCUUUUACCCCUGCAAUCGGAGAGAUUGAGGUCUGCAGCGUAGAUCCUUCGGGGUUAGAUACAUUUGUGCUAAGCUAUAGCCUUGUAUAGACAACUUGUUGACUAUGCUCAGUCAUGUAGCUUACUCGCUUAUGCUAUUUUACCUACGCUUAGGAUGUUGACAGCAGUAUAGACUGU